rnacentral:rRNA from 1 species
GACGAACGCUGGCGGCGUGCCUAAUACAUGCAAGUCGAACGCAUUUUCUUUCACCGUAGCUUGCUACACCGAAAGAAAAUGAGUGGCGAACGGGUGAGUAACACGUGGGUAACCUGCCCAUCAGCGGGGGAUAACACUUGGAAACAGGUGCUAAUACCGCAUAAUUCCAUUUACUGCAUGGUAGAUGGAUGAAAGGCGCUUUUGCGUCACUGAUGGAUGGACCCGCGGUGCAUUAGCUAGUUGGUGGGGUAACGGCCUACCAAGGCUGCGAUGCAUAGCCGACCUGGGAGGGUGAUCGGCCACCCUGGGACUGAGACACGGCCCAGACUCCUACGGGAGGCAGCAGUAGGGAAUCUUCGGCAAUGGACGCAAGUCUGACCGAGCAACGCCGCGUGAGUGAAGAAGGUUUUCGGAUCGUAAAACUCUGUUGUUAGAAAAGAACAAGGAUGAGAGUGGAAAGUUCAUCCCUUGACGGUAUCUAACCAGAAAGCCACGGCUAACUACGUG